GAUGAACGCUGGCGGCGUGCUUAACACAUGCAAGUCGAACGAUGAAGCCCAGCUUGCUGUGUGGUUUAGUGGCGAACGGGUGAGUAACUCGUGAGUAACCUGCCUUUAACUCUGGGAUAAGCCUGGGAAACUGGCUCUAAUACCGGAUAGGAACGUCCACCGCAUGGUGUGUGUUGGAAGGAUUUAUCGGUUUUCGAUGGACUCGCGGCCUAUCAGCUUGUUGGUGAGGUAAUGGCUCACCAAGGCGACGGCGGGUAGCCGGCCUGAGAGGGUGACCGGCCACACUGGGAGUGAGAGACGGCCGAGACUGCUACGGGCGGCAGGAGUGGGUAAUAGUGCACAAUGGGCGCAAGCCUGAUGCAUCGACGCCGCGUGAGGGAUGGCGGCCUUCGGGUUGUAAGCCUCUUUCAGUAGGGAAGAAGCGAAAGUGACGGUACCUGCAGAAGAAGCACCGGCUAACUACGU
rnacentral:rRNA from 1 species